ACCCAAACCCAGGUCGGCUGACUCCUAGUCCAGUGCUCGUGAUGGCUGCUGGGCCCUGAACUAGGGGUCUGGAGACCUGGAUUUGAAUAUCGCCAG
ensembl:miRNA MIR345 microRNA 345